rnacentral:rRNA from 1 species
GACGAACGCUGGCGGCGUGCUUAACACAUGCAAGUCGAACGGAAAGGCCCUGCUUUUGUGGGGUGCUCGAGUGGCGAACGGGUGAGUAACACGUGGGUAACCUGCCCUUGACUUUGGGAUAACUUCAGGAAACUGGGGCUAAUACCGGAUAGGAGCUCCUGCUGCAUGGUGGGGGUUGGAAAGUUUCGGCGGUUGGGGAUGGACUCGCGGCUUAUCAGCUUGUUGGUGGGGUAGUGGCUUACCAAGGCUUUGACGGGUAGCCGGCCUGAGAGGGUGACCGGCCACAUUGGGACUGAGAUACGGCCCAGACUCCUACGGGAGGCAGAAGUGGGGAAUAUUGCACAAUGGGCGGAAGCCUGAUGCAGCAACGCCGCGUGCGGGAUGACGGCCUUCGGGUUGUAAACCGCUUUCGCCUGUGACGAAGCGUGAGUGACGGUAAUGGGUAAAGAAGCACCGGCUAACUACGUG